rnacentral:lncRNA from 1 species
AAUAGUGGAUCCUAUACCUGCCACGCCAAUAACUCAGUCACUGGCUGCAACAGGACCACAGUCAAGACGAUCAUAGUCACUAGAGACAGAAUCUCACCAUGUUACCCAGGCUGGACUCGAACUCCUGGGCUCAAGCAAUCCUCCCAUCUGUUUCCCAAAGUGCUGAGAUUACAAUAAUGCUCUACCACAAGAAAAUGGCCUCUCACCUGGGGCCAUUGCUGGCAUUGUGAUUGGAGUAGUGGCCCUGGUUGCUCUGAUAGCAGUAGCCCUGGCAUGUUUUCUGCAUUUCGGGAAGACCGGCAGGCAAGCGACCAGCGUGAUCUCACAGAGCACAAACCCUCAGUCUCCAACCACCUCAGGACCACUCCAAUGACCCACCUAACAAAUGAAUGAAGUUACUUAUUCU